GCAGGGACCGUUCGCGACCGCACUGUGUUCCUGCGAAGGACGGCGCCGUGUGACCGCAGCGGGCCAAGCACGCCUUCGCGACGGGGACGUGGGUGGCGUGGCGUCGUGCUGCAGAGCGAGUUACUGUGAACAAUCCAAGACAGCGCUGGCGGGGCUCCGGACGCGGGCCGAGGAGCAGUGGAGGACCUGCUGGCUGGAAGGUGCCCGAGCGCCGCUGUCAGAGGAGUUCUCCAUCAGUCUGGCCACACACCUCUUCAAACGUCCAGGUCUG